GUAGAUAACGAAUGGGGGGACAACACAACACAACCUUGACCUUGAGUUUGACCCCGCCCAUUUUCCCUCUCUUUCUUUCAAGGCCACUCGUUCUCUCUCUUACUUUUCAAGGCCAACCCCUCCCACUUCCCCCACCACUUCAAGGCCAAGGCAUUAUUGGACCUUGAUGUUUUCAAGGUCAAGGUUAUUCAUGCUACUCCCCACUUUUUCAAGGCCAACAACUCCUCACUCAUUCAAGAUGAAUCGCGCAAUUGUCCUUACUCAUUUUCCACCCCAAACUGUAUAAAAGAUAAUGUGUUGUGUUGUGUAACACAGUUCUUGUGUAUAUCUACUAUAACAAGAAAUUCUUUAAAAAUGGAACCCAUCAGAAAAAGUUCUAUUUAUAAUACUCCUGAGGAUAUCAUAGUUUGUCCAUACGACAAAAACCACAUUCUUCUUUGGUUUCGGCUCGAAAGGCACAUAUGGAAGUGCCAUCGGGCCGAUAAAGAAAAACAAAGGGCCUUACAUGAAGUGAUGAUGAAGGAAGAAGAGGAGAACUGGGAUCAUUUCAAUGAGCCCAGCUACCUCGACUUCUUAAAAUCUAAAAGGAAUCAUAAUGCCUUAAAUUAAAGAAGGUCGGGGUUCUUUCGUAAAAAUAGUGUAGAAUAAGUUUAGCAAAGUAGUAGUAGUCGUAGUAAACUGUAAAUAUUAUAUUAUUGUAUAAAAAAAAUAAAAGUUGUAAAAAAAAGCUACAUGUUUUUAUGUACACCUAUUUCAACCUACUGAUACAAGUAAGUGUGACCUGCAAGCAGAGAGUCGCUCACUGUUUCAAGACCACUCAUUCCCUCUUUAUCUUUGAUGUUUUCAUCUCACUUUUUCUCAUUAUCUCACUUUUUCAAGGCCACAAUAUUGAUGCAUUUUCAUUCAAGGUUAAAAAGUGGGGGUAUAGUUAAUAUAUAGAAUUUAGUACAAGUUUGAUAGCAGUCAGUACUGAUUUAAUCCUCCGAGAAAUAAUAAUAUAAAAAAAGUGCAUAUAUCUGUGUUAAUGUCUAAGAGUAUUCGCUGCUGGGUCAUGGAUGUAUUGAAUCGAAUCGCUCGAUGCGGACAGAAACCCAUUUUAAAAGCUGGUGAGCUAGAGUUGAACACAAGAUUCCGCAUACAUAAUAUUAGACGCACAAAGUCUCUGUUCGGAAAUUCAGUGCUUGUUGAGUUGGACAAUUAUGCAGUGUUUCUGCCGAGAAGAAUAAGUGAUUAUUUAACUGAGGAGAAAAUUGAUGAGUUAUUACGAGAUCCACGUCCACUAUAUUUAAUAUAUUUGGGAAAAGAAGAUGCUAGAAACCCGACAUCUGCACAUUGUUUUGAGUUUCAACGUGUUGAUGAUGAAAUAUUAGGUGAGUGAACAUAAUGUAAAAUGGAGGAUGAAAAGAAAUUAAAGAAAUGUAUAUUUCAUUUACAGUUAACGAGAGUGCCGAAGAGUAGGAUGAAAUUAUCGGAAAAAGACUUAUGUGUGUGAAGUAGUGUGCGUUUUGUGCUAGUGAUAGUUUCUUAAAAUAAAUGAAUAAAAAUCAUGUGUCUAGACGAUGGACAAUAUGAAAAAUGUUUAUACGAGUGUUUUGAUAAAAGACUGUUAUCAUAUAAGAACUGGGUACAUUCAUACCCAUCUCCAUGGAGUUUAGCAAAAGCGGGAUUGUUUUAUAUUCAAAUAUCUGAUUGUACCCAGUGUUUUGUUUGUGGAGUAAUAAUUUCACGAUGGGAAAAAAGUGAUGAUGCGUUUAUGGAGCAUAAAAAACAUUCUCCAAAAUGUGGAUAUGUGAAAUUGCUUUCCACAGACAAAACUACAAUUCAAAAAUUCAAAUUAGUUACUAAAAAUAGCAUUGUUGUAGUUUUAUUUUUUAUAGUAUUUGUAUUCAUGUAUUAUUUAUGGGCGUCUUCUUAUGCAUAGGUAAUGUGAUGCAGACUUGUUAACCUUGAUCAGUGUCGGGCGCGCGCCAAAGGCGAGGUAAACUAAAGGUUUCAAGAGACGUCUUGAUUUAAUUAGUUUAUAAUUAAAUAAGUGGUAGAAUAAUAUGGAGGAUUUAUAAUAGAUUUAAGGAUAUUUAAUGUACUACCUAUAAUAUUGAUGAAAUAAAGUGUUUUAAUUGA